GCAGAGUAGAACACCACGCGCUAGAGUAGAUAUAUAUCUAUUCUUAAGUGCCGGACGAACAGGGAGUUGUCGCCCGGACGAACCUUCUUAAGAAGGGCGGUGUGGCUUUCGCAUCCCGCUGC
rnacentral:ncRNA from 1 species